GACGAACGCUGGCGGCGUGCUUAACACAUGCAAGUCGAACGGAAAGGCCCUGCUUUUGUGGGGUGCUCGAGUGGCGAACGGGUGAGUAACACGUGAGUAACCUGCCCUUGACUUUGGGAUAACUUCAGGAAACUGGGGCUAAUACCGGAUAGGAGCUCCUGCUGCAUGGUGGGGGUUGGAAAGUUUCGGCGGUUGGGGAUGGACUCGCGGCUUAUCAGCUUGUUGGUGGGGUAGUGGCUUACCAAGGCUUUGACGGGUAGCCGGCCUGAGAGGGUGACCGGCCACAUUGGGACUGAGAUACGGCCCAGACUCCUACGGGAGGCAGCAGUGGGGAAUAUUGCACAAUGGGCGGAAGCCUGAUGCAGCAACGCCGCGUGCGGGAUGACGGCCUUCGGGUUGUAAACCGCUUUCGCCUGUGACGAAGCGUGAGUGACGGUAAUGGGUAAAGAAGCACCGGCUAACUACGUGCCAGCAGCCGCGGUGAUACGUAGGGUGCGAGCGUUGUCCAGAUUUAUUGGGCGUAAAGGGCUCGUAGGUGGUUGAUCGCGUCGGAAGUGUAAUCUUGGGGCUUAACCCUGAGCGUGCUUUCGAUACGGGUUGACUUGAGGAAGGUAGGGGAGAAUGGAAUUCCUGGUGGAGCGGUGGAAUGCGCAGAUAUCAGGAGGAACACCAGUGGCGAAGGCGGUUCUCUGGGCCUUUCCUGACGCUGAGGAGCGAAAGCGUGGGGAGCGAACAGGCUUAGAUACCCUGGUAGUCCACGCUGUAAACGGUGGGUACUAGGUGUGGGGUCCAUUCCACGGGUUCCGUGCCGUAGCUAACGCUUUAAGUACCCCGCCUGGGGAGUACGGCCGCAAGGCUAAAACUCAAAGGAAUUGACGGGGCCCCGCACAAGCGGCGGAGCAUGCGGAUUAAUUCGAUGCAACGCGUAGAACCUUGCCUGGGUUUGACAUGGAUCGGGAGCGCUCAGAGAUGGGUGUGCCUCUUUUGGGGUCGGUUCACAGGUGGUGCAUGGCUGUCGUCAGCUCGUGUCGUGAGAUGUUGGGUUAAGUCCCGCAACGAGCGCAAUCCUUGUUCACUGUUGCCAGCACGUUAUGGUGGGGACUCAGUGGAGACCGCCGGGGUCAACUCGGAGGAAGGUGGGGAUGACGUCAAGUCAUCAUGCCCCUUAUGUCCAGGGCUUCACGCAUGCUACAAUGGCUGGUACAGAGAGUGGCGAGCCUGUGAGGGUGAGCGAAUCUCGGAAAGCCGGUCUCAGUUCGGAUUGGGGUCUGCAACUCGACCUCAUGAAGUCGGAGUCGCUAGUAAUCGCAGAUCAGCAACGCUGCGGUGAAUACGUUCCCGGG
rnacentral:rRNA from 1 species